UACGUAGGUGGCAAGCGUUGUCCGGAUUUACUGGGUGUAAAGGGCGUGUAGGCGGGUAUACAAGUCAGAUGUGAAAUACCGGGGCUCAACUCCGGGGCUGCAUUUGAAACUGCCAUACUGGAGUGCCGGAGAGGUAAGUGGAAUUCCUAGUGUAGCGGUGAAAUGCGUAGAUAUUAGGAGGAACACCAGUGGCGAAGGCGGCUUUCUGGACUGCAACUGACGCUGAAGCACGAAAGCGUGGGGAGCAA
rnacentral:rRNA from 1 species